rnacentral:lncRNA from 1 species
GGAGGAGGAGGGUGCGGCCCGAGUGCCAGCGCCAGGGGUGUCCCGGGGGGCCCCCUCGCUGCUGCAGCAGCGGCUGAGGGUGGGCGAGGGGCGGCUGCGGGGGGCAGUGGCUGAGGCACUGGGGCGCACUUUCAGCAGGGCUGCGCGGCUGCUGGAAGGCCUGGGGGGGCCCCUGGGCCAAGCCCAAGCUGGGGCAGCUGCCACCGCGCACUGCCUGUGCCUGGUGCGCCGUGACCUGCGUGCUGUGGCUGCCACCGUAGCCACCAUCGCUGCCUGCCGCCUGCUGCCUGACAUCCGCGGGGAGCUGUGAGCACGGGGACACCAGUGGGGCGGUGCUGGCAGCCCUGGGGAGCUGCUGGCAUUGUUCUCGCGGUGUCCCUGUCACCAAGCUGCCAGCACUGUGUCUAACGGACUUGAAGGUUGUAGUUAUCGCUGACGGCAUUCUUGUUGUCACCGCGUUUCCAAUGCUGUGUCCCCUUGAGCUGCUGACGCUGCCACCAAGAGUACUGCCACUGAGCACUCAGUGUCCCAGUAGUGUCGCUGUGUCGCCUGGGCUGUGGGGACCUUGGUGUCGCAGUGUCAUUGUCACCGAAUGGAAGCUCCUGAUAAUUGCUUGAUCCGGAAUUCUGUGGUUUUGCCCUGUUUAGGGGAUCUGUGGGAUGCGGCAUUGAAUAAAGCCCUUGGGAGACACAGCUGCAGCGGGGACACGACUUUCACUAGGGGGGUGGCAGCGCGUUUACCCGUGGCAUCGUGGUCCCAGUGGUCCGAGCAUGGUCCCUUUUGUUGCUCCUCAUGCCCCCGGGCUGUGGUAACAUCCUGUCACCCUGAGCACUCCCUGGACGUGUUCUCAGCCCGCUGCUGCCCCCGUGUGCUCCUCCGAGAACUUCAGCAGGGGACAGGGAGAAGUACAUGCGAUACUCACGCCACAGAGCCACACGGGUCUAUUAGUGCAUCCUGCCAGGGCUGUCACUCCCCUAUGGGACAGCGGGGAUACCCCCUGGGUGCUGAUGGGCUUGCAGCAUCAAAAUGCCUGGGGCCUGGUAAGGGUCCUGGGGGCACCUGGUGUCUCCAGAAAGGUCCCAGAUGUCCCCAGGGACCGAGCUGAGGGGCGGUGGAAAACCAGGGUGCAGUUCACUUUUCCCAUUCCCCUGUGUUGUGGCAAAGGGGAGAGGUUUUGUGAAGGGCACGGUAGUGCUGGAUUCCUUUCAUAAAGGUUCUAGACCUCAGUUCCCUUCCCGUAUCCAAAUUAGAAUGAAAAAUAGUAUUAAAAGUCCAUCUUUUGAGGAAGAACCUCUGAGCACUUGUAACUGGCAGUGCUUGGAUAGUCUAGAUAAUGUGUUCCAUAAGGAGUGCUGGGUGAUGCUGUCUGAUACCAUCAGUUUUCAGUACGCUCCAUACAAAGUUUCCCUCUGUGGAAGUAAGGAAACAA